AAGUCGUAACAAGGUUUCCGUAGGUGAACCUGCGGAAGGAUCAUUAAAAAGAUCACCUUUAGAGAAUGUCAUGAAGGGGUUUUACCCUGGAAAGUCUUCUCUUUAAAACCUGUGAACUGUUAUUUUGUACUAUUUUUUGUAUGUUAUCUUUUUUUUUGAAGGAGGAGAAAACUUUACGUUUUUUUCUCUUUUAUUAAAAUUUAAAGACAA
rnacentral:misc_RNA from 1 species